UACGUAGGGAGCAAGCGUUGUUCGGAUUUACUGGGCGUAAAGGGCGCGUAGGCGGCGCGGUAAGUCACUUGUGAAAUCUCUGAGCUUAACUCAGAACGGCCAAGUGAUACUGCAGUGCUAGAGUGCAGAAGGGGCAAUCGAAAUUCUUGGUGUAGCGGUGAAAUGCGUAGAUAUCAAGAGGAACACCUGAGGUGAAGACGGGUUGCUGGGCUGACACUGACGCUGAGGCGCGAAAGCCAGGGGAGCAAACGGG
rnacentral:rRNA from 1 species